GAUGAACGCUGGCGGCGUGCUUAACACAUGCAAGUCGAACGGGAAACCUUUUAAUGAAGCUUCGGCAGAUUUAGCUGGUUUCUAGUGGCGGACGGGUGAGUAACGCGUGGGUAACCUGCCUUAUACAGGGGGAUAACAGUCAGAAAUGACUGCUAAUACCGCAUAAGCGCACAGGACCGCAUGGUCCGGUGUGAAAAACUCCGGUGGUAUAAGAUGGACCCGCGUUGGUUUAGCUUGUUGGUGGGGUAACGGCUCACCAAGGCGACGAUCCAUAGCCGGCCUGAGAGGGUGGACCGACACAUUUGGACGGGGACGCAGUCCAGAAUCCUACGGGAGGGAGGAGUGGGGAAUAGUGCAACAUGGGGGGAACCCUGAUGGAGCGACGCCGGGAGAAGGAAGAAGUAUCGCGGGAAGUAAACUUCUAGCAGCAGGGAAGAUAGUGACGGUACCUGACCAAGAAGCCCCGGCUAACUACGUG
rnacentral:rRNA from 1 species